GAACUGCGAUAAGUAAUGUGAAUUGCAGAAUUCAGUGAAUCAUCGAGUCUUUGAACGCACAUUGCGCCCCCUGGUAUUCCGGGGGGCAUGCCUGUCCGAGCGUCAUUGCUACCCUCAAGCGCGGCUUGUGUGUUGGGCCGCCGUCCCCCCUGCCCGGGGGGACGGGCCCGAAAGGCAGUGACGGCACCGGGGCCGAUCCUCGAGCGUAUGGGGCUUUGUCACCCGCUCCGUGGGAUCGGCCGGUGCCUUCGAGCCGACGUUCGUCGUCAUCCUUUCUCUCAGGUUGACCUCGGAUCAGGUAGGGAUACCCGCUGAACUUAA
rnacentral:misc_RNA from 1 species